rnacentral:tRNA from 1 species
GCGGGGAUAGCUCAGCUGGGAGAGCGUCAGACUGAAGUCAACUUCUGUUCUCAAAUCUGAAGGUCAUGUGUUCGAUCCACAUUCACCGCA